UCGAAGGAGCAGUAAGAAAAUUAGGCGCAACCCUCAAUAUUUGAGCUGUACAAGUUAAAAAAGGAGGGUAAUGAGUGUUGACAAAGAAGAAAGACGAACCAUUUUCAGCUUCCUGGUAGCGCUCCUGGAGCCUCCUCUUUGCUGCUUCCAGCCUACUAUUGCUUUCCAAACCAUCAUAGAUCUUUGGCUUUGCCGACUCUAGCUUGACUCCUGCUGAAGGUUGUGCAGGAAGCCUCGAUUUCUAGAACCAAAGUUCAGAUAUUUAAGUCAUGAUGUUCUGAGGAUUAUCAUACUAUUAGGCCUUAGUAAUAGCAUAUAUACUUACAUCCACAUGGCUCGCUGCAGGUUUUCUUUCAACAGCAACCUGCUCUCGAGCCAGUCUAGAUUUCAUCUCAACAAAGGGCUUCUGCUGAGGAGCUGCCCUUAAUGGUCUCCCAGGUCCAGAAUCAGAACUCAAGGGCUUAGAUUGCUUGUG
rnacentral:lncRNA from 1 species